GAUGAACGCUGGCGGCGUGCCUAAUACAUGCAAGUCGAGCGAACAGACGAGGAGCUUGCUCCUCUGACGUUAGCGGCGGACGGGUGAGUAACACGUGGAUAACCUACCUAUAAGACUGGGAUAACUUCGGGAAACCGGAGCUAAUACCGGAUAAUAUAUUGAACCGCAUGGUUCAAUAGUGAAAGACGGUUUUGCUGUCACUUAUAGAUGGAUCCGCGCCGCAUUAGCUAGUUGGUAAGGUAACGGCUUACCAAGGCGACGAUGCGUAGCCGACCUGAGAGGGUGAUCGGCCACACUGGAACUGAGACACGGUCCAGACUCCUACGGGAGGCAGCAGUAGGGAAUCUUCCGCAAUGGGCGAAAGCUUGACGGAGCAACGCCGCGUGAGUGAUGAAGGUCUUCGGAUCGUAAAACUCUGUUAUUAGGGAAGAACAAAUGUGUAAGUAACUACGCACGUCUUGACGGUACCUAAUCAGAAAGCCACGGCUAACUACGUG
rnacentral:rRNA from 1 species